rnacentral:tRNA from 1 species
AUCUGUAACUCUUUGUGAGACAUUUGAUUUGAAAUCAGAUUUUUUGUUUUUAAUAACAAUACAGAUU